rnacentral:rRNA from 1 species
AUACAGAGGCCAAGAGCGUUGUUCGGAUUUACUGGGCGUAAAGGGCGCGUAGGCGGUCUUGCGUGUCAAGUGUGAAAUCUCCGGGCCCAACCCGGAAAGUGCGCUUGAAACUACAGGACUCGAGUCUGGGAGAGGGAAUCGGAAUGCAGGGUGUAGCGGUGAAAUGCGUUGAUAUCCUGCAGAACACCGGAGGCGAAGGCGGAUUCCUUGAACAGCACGGACGCUGAGGCGCGAAAGUCGGGGGAGCAAACAGGAUUAGAUACCCUGGUAGUCCCGACCUUAAACGGUGCACACUCGGGGUGGGGCCAUUUCACCGGUCCCGUCCCUUAGCUAACGCGUUAAGUGUGCCGCCUGGGGAGUACGGCCGCAAGGCUAAAACUCAAAGGAAUUGGCGGGG